rnacentral:rRNA from 1 species
AUCGAGUGGCAAACGGGUGAGUAACACGUAAACAACCUGCCUUCAGGAUGGGGACAACAGACGGAAACGACUGCUAAUACCGAAUACGCUUGGAAGACCGCAUGAUCUUCCAAGGAAAGGGUGGCCUCUACCUGUAAGCUAUCGCCUGAAGAGGGGUUUGCGUCUGAUUAGGCAGUUGGUGAGGUAACGGCCCACCAAACCUACGAUCAGUAGCCGGUCUGAGAGGAUGAACGGCCACACUGGAACUGAGACACGGUCCAGACUCCUACGGGAGGCAGCAGUGGGGAAUCUUCCGCAAUGGGCGGAAACCCUGACCGAGCAACGCCGCGUGAAGGAAGAAGUAAUUCGUUAUGUAAACUUCUGUCAUAGAGGAAGAACGGUGGAUAUAGGGAAUGAUAUCCAAGUGACGGUACUCUAUAAGAAAGCCACGGCUAACUACGUGCCAGCAGCCGCGGUAAUACGUAGGUGGCGAGCGUUAUCCGGAAUUAUUGGGCGUAAAGAGGGAGCAGGCGGCACUAAGGGUCUGUGGUGAAAGAUCGAAGCUUAACUUCGGUAAGCCAUGGAAACCGUAGAGCUAGAGUGUGUGAGAGGAUCGUGGAAUUCCAUGUGUAGCGGUGAAAUGCGUAGAUAUAUGGAGGAACACCAGUGGCGAAGGCGACGAUCUGGCGCAUAACUGACGCUCAGUCCCGAAAGCGUGGGGAGCAAAUAGGAUUAGAUACCCUAGUAGUCCACGCCGUAAACGAUGAGUACUAAGUGUUGGGAGUCAAAUCUCAGUGCUGCAGUUAACGCAAUAAGUACUCCGCCUGAGUAGUACGUUCGCAAGAAUGAAACUCAAAGGAAUUGACGGGGGCCCGCACAAGCGGUGGAGCAUGUGGUUUAAUUCGAAGCAACGCGAAGAACCUUACCAGGUCUUGACAUCGAUCUAAAGGCUCCAGAGAUGGAGAGAUAGCUAUAGAGAAGACAGGUGGUGCAUGGUUGUCGUCAGCUCGUGUCGUGAGAUGUUGGGUUAAGUCCCGCAACGAGCGCAACCCCUGUUGCCAGUUGCCAGCAUUAAGUUGGGGACUCUGGCGAGACUGCCGGUGACAAGCCGGAGGAAGGCGGGGAUGACGUCAAAUCAUCAUGCCCCUUAUGACCUGGGCUACACACGUGCUACAAUGGACAGAGCAGAGGGAAGCGAAGCCGCGAGGUGGAGCGAAACCCAUAAAACUGUUCUCAGUUCGGACUGCAGUCUGCAACUCGACUGCACGAAGAUGGAAUCGCUAGUAAUCGCGAAUCAGCAUGUCGCGGUGAAUACGUUCUCGGGCCUUGUACACACCGCCCGUCACACCAUGAGAGUCGGUAACACCCGAAGCCGGUGGCCUAACCGCAAGGAAGGAGCUGUCUAAGGUGGGACUGAUGAUUGGGGUGAAGUCGUAACAAGGUA